rnacentral:rRNA from 1 species
CCUACGGGAGGCAGCAGUGGGGAAUAUUGGACAAUGGGCGAAAGCCUGAUCCAGCAAUGCCGCGUGAGUGAUGAAGGCCUUAGGGUUGUAAAGCUCUUUUACCAGGGAUGAUAAUGACAGUACCUGGAGAAUAAGCUCCGGCUAACUCCGUGCCAGCAGCCGCGGUAAUACGGAGGGAGCUAGCGUUGUUCGGAAUUACUGGGCGUAAAGCGUGCGUAGGCGGCGAUUCAAGUCAGAGGUGAAAGCCUGGAGCUCAACUCCAGAACUGCCUUUGAAACUAGAUUGCUAGAAUCAUGGAGAGGUGAGUGGAAUUCCGAGUGUAGAGGUGAAAUUCGUAGAUAUUCGGAAGAACACCAGUGGCGAAGGCGGCUCACUGGACAUGUAUUGACGCUGAGGCACGAAAGCGUGGGGAGCAAACAGGAUUAGAUACCCUGGUAGUCCACGCCGUAAACGAUGAUAACUAGCUGCCAGGGCUCAUAGAGCUUUGGUGGCGCAGCUAACGCAUUAAGUUAUCCGCCUGGGGAGUACGGUCGCAAGAUUAAAACUUAAAUGAAAUUGACGG